CGCACGACUCACGGCCACAGGGACCUGCUACUCGCUCUGCGCGAUGCCAGGCAACAAAGACCUCGUCCAGGGCCCGAGGAAGACACAGCUCUCGGAGGGCUGCCGCGGGCAGUCCGAGGAGGUGCAGACCAGCUAGCAGAGGAGACUUGGGGUAACACCAGGACCCAGGGCUGCCUGGAGAUGCUGCACCUGAUGGGAGAGCCACCAGGACCAGCCAAGAGAAAGUUACAGAGAGAAAUCAUUCACGGUUCCAGGCCUGGGUGGGGUAGGGAAGGGGGCUGGGCCACAUCAGCUGCAGAUCCCUUCAUUUCUCCUGUCUCAGGUUCCCCUUUGGGGUGUUUUUCUGGGAACUUUCUGAUUCCAGGAACUCCCCAGUGGCUGGGGAGAGCCGGGAGAUGCAGGCCCACAAGAAGGAAAUGACUCAUCCAUUCAGUUACCAGCUUAGACUACAAGGCCUGUCUGCAACCAAAGCCACACGCUGACCCCCGCUGCUAGCUCACACCCUGGACAAGCAGUCCUGUGUGCCUGGGGGCUCAAAGCCCAAGAACCUCUGGGGAAGAGAAGUGGCAGUGGCCCCCGUCCUUAGAGAGGAAAGACUUUGUUUCAUUUCCAGGAGGUUGCACAUGAACCAGACAAUCAAACACCAAAGACGAGAUUGUCAAGUUAAAAGCUCAUAAAUGUCGCAGACUGUAAACAAAAUUGUGCUCAGUCAUUUCUAAAGCCCCCCUGGAAGGCCAGCUGGGGCCUUGCCUCCAGCAGAGCUAUGACACUGAGAAGCAGCCUCUCAAAGGCAGGACCACCGAAUAAGGACACCCACUGCUGCUGGGCUCACCAGAACCGGGGAGAUAAUUCCAAGCUACUCGGAUUCCCCCAAAGCUGAGAAUUCUUCACUGCUGCUAACUGAGGCUCUUUGUCCACUGUUUGGGCCCACUCCCCAAGGCCCUGUGCCCCUUACCCUUCCCUCCCGUCCCAGUGGCUAGACUGUCCUCUGAAGCCCACUCAGAGAGACAGUGGAAACAAGCGCGUGUGUCAGAGAGCCGGGAGGCACCUCCAGCUGGCCAUGGAAUACACAGAGGUCACUAGCAGCAUUUUGAUUGUUAAUGAGAAAGAAUGGAGAACAGUCUCCUGCCUCACAUGAGGCAGGCAGGGACCUGCGUGUCACACACUAUUCUCAGACCACUCACCUGGACAUUUAUAAGUGCCCCAGACACCAGAGGGACGCAUUUGGCCUGGUGGGUUCUUGCACUCUCAGUCUUCACCUGCAGAACACUGCAAACUGCAUCCACUUGCCGUUCACCUGCAUUGCCACAACCUUCUCUUCCUUCCUCAUUUAGGUCUCAGCCUAAAGGUUGUUUGUGAGAGAACCUUCCCUGACCCCGACUCACUUCCCAGGGCCCCUUCUCUAAAAUUCUAGCCUACAGCCCCACUGUGAUUUUUUUAAUGAAUUUUUAUGGAGGAAAUUGUGCGGUUAUAUUGAGAUGAUUGUACACUGUGAUGUUUUCUGUGGUCUGAAUGUGUGUGUUCCCCCAAAUUUCAUAUGUUGAAAUCGUGACUCAAAGGUGAUGCUCUUAGGAGGUGGGGUUUUAUGGUGGUUAGGGUGGAGCCCUCAUGCAUAAGGUUGGCAUAAUUAUUAAUAGAGACCUCUAGGGCCUCUUUGCCCCUUCCACCAUGUGAGGAAACAGCGACCUGUGAACCAAGAGCAGGUUCUUGCCAGACACCAAACCUGCCGGGGCCUUGGUCUUGGACUUCCAGCCUCCAGAACUGUGAGAAAUAAAUUUCUGUUGUUUAUAAGCCACCCAGUCUGUGGCAUUUUUGUUACAGCAGGUCUGAUGAACUGGGGCAAAGUUGGAAGGAAUAACAAGAGGGAUGCCUUGUGGCCUUUACCAGGGUUCCCCAAUGGGAACAUUUUGUGGAACUGUACUAGUGUGUUACAGGCAGAGUAUAACUUUAAUGCAACACACCAGUGUGCCCCAGAUUCCCUCAGUUUUUCUUGUACUCAUUUCAUUUCCUAUUGUACUUAGUUCUUACAACUUUGUCACAUGUGUGAUUCCACUACCAUCAAGAUCCUGAUCAGCCCAUCACCAAAAGGCCCCCCACAGCACCCUCUGAUAGCCCACCCCCACCCCUGAGCCCUGGCAUCCACAGAUCUGUCUGCCACUCUAUGUCAACUGCAGGGAAGCAUAUGGUAUCUAAC